UACGAAGGGGGGCUAGCGUUGCUCGGAAUCACUGGGCGUAAAGGGUGCGUAGGCGGGUCUUUUAAGUCAGGGGGUGAAAUCCUGGAGCUCAACUCCAGAACUGCCUUUGAUACUGGGGGAUCUCGAGUCCGGAAGAGGUGAGUGGAACUCCGAGUGUAGAGGUGAAAUUCGUAGGUAUUCGGAAGAACACCAGUGGCGAAGGCGGCUCACUGGCCCGGAACUGACGCUGAGACGCGAAAGCGUGGGGGAGCAAACAGG
rnacentral:rRNA from 1 species